AUUGGCAAUUAAGCAGGAUGGGAACACCUCUUACCAUUCCGAACAGAGAAGUUAAGCAUUACUGCGCCGAUGGUACUGCUGAAGCGGAAGAGUAGGUUUUUGCCAUAU
rnacentral:rRNA from 1 species